rnacentral:rRNA from 1 species
UACGUAGGGACCAAGCGUUGUUCGGAUUUACUGGGCGUAAAGGGCGCGUAGGCGGCAUAUUAAGUCAGCUGUGAAAUCUCCGAGCUUAACUCGGAACUGUCAGCUGAUACUGAUGUGCUAGAGUGCAGAAAGGGCAAUCGGAAUUCUUGGUGUAGCGGUGAAAUGCGUAGAUAUCAAGAGGAACACCUGAGGCGAAGGCGGGUUGCUAGGCUGACACUGACGCUGAGUGCGCGAAAAGCCAGGGGGAGCAAAACGGG